rnacentral:rRNA from 1 species
CCUACGGGAGGCAGCAGUGGGGAAUAUUGGACAAUGGGGGGAACCCUGAUCCAGCCAUGCCGCGUGUGUGAAGAAGGCCCUCGGGUUGUAAAGCACUUUCAGUGAGGAAGAACGCCUGGUGGUUAAUACCCAUCAGGAAAGACAUCACUCGCAGAAGAAGCACCGGCUAACUCCGUGCCAGCAGCCGCGGUAAUACGGAGGGUGCGAGCGUUAAUCGGAAUUACUGGGCGUAAAGCGCGCGUAGGUGGCUUGAUAAGCCGGUUGUGAAAGCCCCGGGCUCAACCUGGGAACGGCAUCCGGAACUGUCAAGCUAGAGUGCAGGAGAGGAAGGUAGAAUUCCCGGUGUAGCGGUGAAAUGCGUAGAGAUCGGGAGGAAUACCAGUGGCGAAGGCGGCCUUCUGGACUGACACUGACACUGAGGUGCGAAAGCGUGGGUAGCAAACAGGAUUAGAUACCCUGGUAGUC